GUUGCAGAGUGUGCUAAUGACUACUAGGCGUCUGACUACGGAUCAGAAGGUUAGGGGUUCGAGUCCCUUCGGGC
rnacentral:tRNA from 1 species